GUUGAUGCUGUCCACAGCCCCUCGAGCCCAUGCACACCUUCAAGAAUAACACCCUCAAGUGAGGUAUGACGCAAGAGCAUGUCGUCAUCCGAUCGACUAAGCUAGGGUUUCUCUUGGAGGUAGAAGAUAAGGGUCUAGAGCUUCUCCAUGACGAUGCCUUCAAGAAGGAUACGACGCAGAAAACGCCACCAUCGCCAGCCUUUUCAACAUGAGUAGGGUUUUCACCCGGAUUUGCUGGAGGAACCUCCAUCCAGCCUCAUGUGCACGAGACAACCACCAAUCACCGUCACCGCGCAUGGAAUAGUCCACACCGGCCGGAUCAGAUCGGACCGAGGACAAGACGCUCCAUACCGCUGUCGCUGAUCCAAGGUCAAAUCUAAUCUAACCCACCGUCGCCGCAGGAACGCAGCUUACGCGCAACGAGCCGCCUCCAUGGCGGCAUCACUCGCCCACCCCGAGGCCACCGCUGAGCCCCGCGCCCGCCCCGUGAUGCAAUCGCCUCCGCAGAGCCGCUGCCAAAUCCCGCCACCGCGACCGAACGCAGCACCGCCUCCAUACCCUGCGCCAGAACGAGGCGUCCCCGCCGAGUGCCGAGGUGUUGCACCCGUAUCGAAACAGAUCACGCGAGGAGGUAAGAGAUCCCCGUUGCCGGCCUUGCUUCGCCCGGCGGCGCGCCCUGGCGGCGGUGAGGGGAAGGUGGAGAUGUGAGGGGAGGGGGUGGCGGCGUGUAUGGUUUCGCUCUGGAAAAACAAGUACAUGAUAGAAUGUUCUCUGAAUCUUGGGGUGCAUUCUGGUCAGG
rnacentral:lncRNA from 1 species